GGUUGAUCCUGCCAGUAGUCAUAUGCUUGUUUUAAAGAUUAAGCCAUGCAUGUGUAAGUAUAGAGCAUUCUAGCUUGAAACUGCGAACGGCUCAUUAAAUCAGUUAUAAUCUACUUGAUUGUAUUUUUACUAUUAGGAUACCCUUAGUAAUUCUAUGGCUAAUACUUGCAAAAACUCAUGACUAGAAAUGGAAAUGAGGUAUUUAUUAGGUCCAAGGAAGGCAGCAGGCGCGCAAAUUACUCAAUCCCGAUUAGGGGAAGUAGUGACAAGAAAUAUGAUUGUAGAAUCCAAUA
rnacentral:rRNA from 1 species